rnacentral:rRNA from 1 species
CAGAGGGGGCAAGCGUUGUUCGGAAUUACUGGGCGUAAAGGGCGCGUAGGCGGCCUUCUAAGUCGGACGUGAAAUCCCCGGGCUCAACCCGGGAACUGCGUCCGAGACUGGAAGGCUCGAAUCCGGGAGAGGGAUGUGGAAUUCCAGGUGUAGCGGUGAAAUGCGUAGAUAUCUGGAGGAACACCGGUGGCGAAGGCGGCAUCCUGGACCGGUAUUGACGCUGAGGCGCGAAAGCCAGAGGAGCAAACGGGAUUAGAUACCCCGGUAGUCCUGGCCCUAAACGAUGAAUGCUUGGUGUGGCGGGUAUCGAUCCCUGCCGUGCCGAAGCUAACGCAUUAAGCAUUCCGCCUGGGGAGUACGGUCGCAAGGCUG